UUUCAUUUUCUAUGAAGUUGUAUUUUUUGAUUUUCAAGAGAAAACAAAAUUAUAAAUGAAAAGCUAUUGAAAUUAUGAAUGAUAUAAGAAUGUUUUAAAUUUAUCAGAACUAAAAUCUCUCUUGGAAUUAAUAUAAACUUAUAUAUAUUUAAAGAACUUUGAACCAUUUAUUGAUUAAGGAUGUUCAGUGUCGGUACGUAGGGAUCGCGUUUAACGUCUUGAUGGGUUAGAUCUAAAUACCGUUCAUUCAAAAAAUAUACAACAAAACUGGAGACCAGGAACAAUUAGAAACGCAUGCGACGAAAUACUCGCGCGAAUGAAUAAAACUUUUUAUUCGAUCUAAGCCGUACAUUUAUCAUCUAUAAAAUUGAAUAUAUGAAUUGGCACAAAAACUAAUAUUUCAACAGAUUAAUAAUAACUACAAUUUCCUUAAAGUUCAAUGUAUUUUCAUGAAAUAGAUACAUUGAAAAAAGAAUUGAACAUUUAAAAACUUUCGAGAGGUUUGUAAUUAUGCAAAUCUGUUAUUAUAAAUUAUAUAUUUGUUAGAGAA
rnacentral:lncRNA from 1 species